GUGCUUGAACCCUGGAGCACCCAUGGAGUUGGUGCCUAUGGCUGUAAGAACAUGGACUUCAGCCCAUCGUGAAUUGCUAUAAGCUGCCCUUAAUAAGGCCAAUGCAAGCGUGAGUUAAUUUCUUGGGACAAAUAAAAAGAAAACAGGAAGCGGAGUGAAGUUCAAGGUUAACAAGGGAGUGGGAAGGGGGUGCCAAGCAGAGCCCACUGAACAAGUCAGAGGAGCCACUUGCGGAUGCUGAGCAGUGAAACUCUGCCUGCAGAUGCAAGCGGAAGAUGCCCCACAUUUGCCUGCAGUUCUCCCCCACUACAGCCUCCUUCCUGGUUGUGUAGAUGGCCAGGGAUCCUGGGGCUCAGCAGGGUGUAUGUAACAAAACGAGGCGGGGAGGGGGAGAUGCACAGUCAGGCUCUAGAGGUGGUGGUGGCAGUGAAGGGGCAGCAGCCUGGCGUGCUCCAGGGCACGACCGCCAGGGUCACCCUCUGCCGGGGGGGGGGGGGAACAUAAGCCCGCUUAUAAUAUUUGCAAAGACACAGCAUGAGCGACACGGGUAAGCGCUCAGCAAAAAAGGGGGAAGCAGAAAGUCUGCUACUGGUGUACGCAGCCCGGUGUUGCCAGGGUGUGAUGGGAAGUCAAGAAAAGGGCUUGCAGCGUGCGGGAGUUUUUCAGCAAACGCGAUCGUUUUGAGCUUCCCAUGCGAUCAUUUCCUAUUGAAGAUCGGGGCAAAGCUGGCACGGCCUCACCCCCCGUCCGCAGGGGCAGAGCGGGACCCAGGCCGUGGCAGCAGUUGCAAGCCUAGAAGGGCGGUGCAGAGGCCCUCUCCCCACCACGCAUCCCCGCGUCUAACGGCCCGCGCUGGCUGGUCCCGUUCCCCCCCGCGCGAAGGGAGGAGAGGGGAGCAGUGGUUGCCCCAGGGCGUGCAGGGGGGCAGUCCGUCCCUCCUCCCCUCCCUGCCACCAGGGGAGGCAGCUCGAGGCGACCCAUUACCUCGGCGGGACUCACGCCGCCACGCGCCACUCCAACCGCCGCGGCUCUUCCGUGGGCCGUACCACUUCCCCGCGGGACGAGGGGGAGUGGGGGAGGAAGGUGAGUGCUCUCGCCUGCCGCGCAAGGGGAGGGCGGGGAAAACGAACGUUUCGCUGUCUCCCCUCUCCCCCCGUGCCUCGAUAUGGUUCAUUCCGGGCGGACGGCGUCCCGGCGGGCUCAAGAGAGCGGCGCUUGGGGCGGAUUCGCGUUUCGCGUGCGCGGCGGGGCUCAGAGGCUGGGAAGCUGCGGCGGCAGCGGCGGCGGCAGCAGCAGCGGCAGCGCCAGUGGCAGCACUGAAAGACCAUUAUUGCUGUGCGACAUCCAAGCCAUAUCCUGGUUCAUCCUUGUUGUACCGUCAGUGAAACCUCCAGCCACAGUGAGUUUCUAGUUUUGGGAUCCUUUUCUUCUGUGAGGAUUUGUGAAGCGGAAAACGUUUUUGUACAAACAG
rnacentral:lncRNA from 1 species